UAGAUCAGUUGGGACCGGGUUCAAGGUGAUCAGGAAUGCUUUAACCCCGGGGUGGAGGCUUACCAUUUCACCUCGGUGGGUUGAAACUCGCGACGAACCCUAAUUGGGUAUGCUCGGGCGUGUAGUUUUUGUCAAUGGGGGAGGUUUCACAGUCUUCCCUUU
rnacentral:snRNA from 1 species